UGGGGAAUAUUGCACAAUGGGGGAAACCCUGAUCCAGCCAUCCCGCGUGUGCGAUGAAGGCCUUCGGGUUGUAAAGCACUUUUGGCAGGAAAGAAACGUCGCGGGUUAAUACCCCGCGAAACUGACGGUACCUGCAGAAUAAGUACCGGCUAACUACGUGCCAGCAGCCGCGGUAAUACGUAGGGUGCAAGCGUUAAUCGGAAUUACUGGGCGUAAAGCGUGCGCAGGCGGUUCGGAAAGAAAGAUGUGAAAUCCCAGAGCUUAACUUUGGAACUGCAUUUUAACUACCGGGCUAGAGUGUGUCAGAGGGAGGUGGAAUUCCGCGUGUAGCAGUGAAAUGCGUAGAUAUGCGGAGGAACACCGAUGGCGAAGGCAGCCUCCUGGGAUAACACUGACGCUCAUGCACGAAAGCGUGGGGAGCAAACAGGAUUAGAUACCCUGGUAGUCCACGCCCUAAAACGAUGUCAACUAGCUGUUGGGGCCUUCGGGCCUUGGUAGCGCAGCUAACGCGUGAAGUUGACCGCCUGGGGAGUACGGUCGCAAGAUUAAAACUCAAAUGAAUUGAC
rnacentral:rRNA from 1 species